rnacentral:rRNA from 1 species
AGAGUGAACGCUGGCGGUAGGCCUAACACAUGCAAGUCGAACGGCAGCACAGGAGAGCUUGCUCUCUGGGUGGCGAGUGGCGGACGGGUGAGGAAUACAUCGGAAUCUACCUUUUCGUGGGGGAUAACGUAGGGAAACUUACGCUAAUACCGCAUAAGACCUUCGGGUGAAAGCCGGGGACCUUCGGGCCUGGCGCGGAUAGAUGAGCCGAUGUCGGAUUAGCUUGUUGGCGGGUAAAGCCCACAAGGCGACGAUCCGUAGCUGGUCUGAGAGGAUGAUCAGCCACACUGGAACUGAGACACGGUCCAGACCUCCUACGGGAGCAGCGAGUGGGAAUAGUUGGACAAGUGGGACGCAAGCCUAGACUCCAGCCAUCGCCGCGUGAGUUGAAGUACGG